rnacentral:rRNA from 1 species
GACGAACCGUGCGAACGUUAUUCGGAAUCACUGGGCUUAAAGCGCGUGUAGGCGGGACGGCACGUCUGUCGCUGAAAUCCCCCGGCUUAACCGGGGAACUGGCGGAGAUACGACCGUCCUGGAGGGGCGUAGGGGGACCUGGAACUUCCGGUGGAGCGGUGAAAUGCGUUGAGAUCGGAAGGAACGCCCGUGGCGAAAGCGAGGUCCUGGACGCCUACUGACGCUGAGACGACGAAAGCCAGGGGAGCGAACGGG